AGAACCUUCUUUGCACACCCUUUCAGAGGAACUUGGGUACCGUUAGUGGUGGAUGUGCCCCAGCUGUAGUGAAAGCUACUUCCACAGCUGAGCUGGUCUCUGAAAUGGCAGAAAAGCAACCUGAGAGAAGACUGUCCGCUCUGUUUUAAAUGGGAAAAAGUGGAUUGAUCUCCAGAGGAAACAUGAAGAACCAAACAUCCAAUUGCACGUUUGCAGAGGCCCAGCAAAGUCCAAAAUCAUAGAGAACUGGAAAAAUUUGUAUAAUGAUUGGAGCUACCCUGCUAGGAUGGG